UACAGAGACUGCAAGCGUUAUUCGGAUUCACUGGGCGUAAAGGGUGCGCAGGCGGCCGCGUGUGUCAGGUGUGAAAGCCCGGAGCUUAACUCCGGAAUUGCGCCUGAAACUACAUGGCUAGAGCAUUGGAGAGGGUAGCGGAAUUCACGGUGUAGCAGUGAAAUGCGUAGAUAUCGUGAGGAACACCAGAGGCGAAGGCGGCUACCUGGACAAUUGCUGACGCUCAGGCACGAAAGCGUGGGGAGCAAAAGGG
rnacentral:rRNA from 1 species